CUUGAGCUCCUUGAAGGGUCGUUCGAGACCAGGACGUUGAUAGGUCAGGUGUGGAAGUGCAGUAAUGCAUUAAGCUAACUGAUACUAAUUGCCCGUACGGCUUGUCCCUAUAACCUUAGCAGGUUGUA
rnacentral:rRNA from 1 species